AUAAUUAACCUGGGUUAUUUAUGUCUGUCUACGUCUGUGCAUGGAGUGUUCUAUUUCUCCAUGGUCUGUGGGAGCAACACCGUGGGUAUGAAUGGCUGGAUGGAUGGGUGAUUGACAAAUGGAGCCGAGAACGAAGAAUUAACCUGUUCUCUGGGGCAUGCAGUCUGUACAGUGUGCACGUGCAACUAUUUGGCGUAGGAGAUUCCAAGCUGCAUACACGCAGGUAAAGCAAGCAUGACGUGGUUCUCAGUCUGAAAUGCACGCAACAUCAUGGGCGAGGCUGUGGCAUGCUAUUGGUGACGACCAACUGAAAAACCCAGACUGGAAGAUUCUGACGAGAACCUUGUUGGGUGAAGGUUUAACAAUUCCUUGACAACAAGCCUCACUUAGUGUAACACCCAGGUGUGCAUCCUGUCUCUCCCUUGGUGUUUUUCAUCUCCAUGAGUUGAAAUCUCAGUGCUACUACUUGUAGGAUGUCGUCUGUAGUGCCUCUGUAUCACAUGGCAUCAGCUGUUGUGGUCCGUACUCUGCUUGAUCAUAAUGAUCAUCUCCAUGAGUUGAAAUCUCAGUGCUACUACUUGUAGGAUGUCGUCUGUAGUGCCUCUACGUCACAUGGCAUCAGCUGUUGUGGUCCGUACUCUGCUUGAUCAUAAUGAGCGUCAUUCAGAAGAAUGCAAGACCAAGGCCCAAGAUCUGAUCACAAAACUCAACAUGAAUUUGUACACAGCAGUCAGUAAGGAUCUGCUGGAGCUCUUUGUUGAUAGCUAUCCUGGACGUCUUCCAGCCUUCCUUCUGCCUGUACUGGCUCCACCCCACUUGAAGGUGCUGAACCUCAAGCAGUGCUGUCUGAUUGAGGAAGAUUCACAGAUGGAGUUCAGGUACCUGAAAAAGACUCUUCAAAGCUGUAGCAGUCUUCAGGCGUUGAUUCUGGACAGUUGUAACCUGGCACUACCCUUGUUGUUAUGUGAUGUCAUCACCCAAAAUGCUCCACAGCUGGUCUCUGUCUCUGUGGAAGAAUGCCGUGGAGUUUCUAAUGAAUUUGUGCAGAAACUUUUGAGAGGACUCCCAAAUCUGAGCCACUUAAACAUAUCCAUCUGUCCAGAGGUCACCGACAACGUCUUUGCAUUGACUGAGACACAGGGCCUACUUGAAGAGAGGACUGGAACACGAGAUGCAGCCAGUUGGGGUUGCAAUCUUAAGAGUGUGGAUUUAUCAGGGAACCAGCAGCUGACGAGUACCUGCAUCCGCCAUCUGACUGAGCUGUGUGGGCCAAGGUUAAGGAACCUGAAUGUGGCUGCUACACGGAUGGAUUGCACGAUACUGUGGUUUCUGUCUGGCUACAGCCUCUCAACAGCAGUACAGUUGGCAGCAGAGGCAAACAAAGCCAAUCUAGAUAAGGAUUCCUCAAAAGGAGAGACAUUGUGUCAGCUGAUAACAGAGUUCAGGCUGCUUCAGGAAAGACUCAAGAAUCUCCAAGAAGAGGGAAGUCAGAGGCAUCAAGAGAUUAGGGAGGCAGAGGGAAGGAAGGUGCUAGAAAAAGGGGAUGUGCACGAUGAUGGUGACAUUGCUACUAUGGUAGAGGAUGUUGGAGUACUGGCAGCAGAAAAACAGGAGAAGAUGAGAGAGGCUGGAGCAGGAUGUCUGGAGAAUUUUCAGAGAAUAGAGGAAGAAAAAGUGACACCUGAAGAUGAGGAAGAUGACGAGGAGAUGGAUGAGGAAGAUCAGAGAGUGCAAGAAAAGGAAUUGUCAGCUCAUACUGGGGAAAAAAUACAGGCAAAUUGUGACAAAGCUUGGGGAUUUGAGAGACAAGGGUUUGACCUCAAAGAAAUAGCACUGAAAAUACAGGAAAAUCAAGGGGACAGAAGUGGGAGUCUUGAGGUCCAGAGAAUAACCAGUAAUAAGACGGAUAAUGAGAAUCAAAAAGGCAGCUUUGAAGGCAGCCAGAAUAAAAAGAUCCUACAUGUACAGGAUGGUUUAGGAGGGAAUGUAGGGGAGAUGACAGAUGAGUCAGUUCAGCAACAGGAUUAUGGCAGAAAUGGUUUAAAUCUUGGUGGCACUAGAGAUGCACAUGGACCAGAUUCUGAAAUUGGACAUUUUGUGAAAAGUGUCAUUGAAUACUCUUGUCAGAGGUUGAGGCAUGAAAGAGAUUCACAACUUUGCUCACACUCUCUUGAACAGCAAAGAUUGGGCUGGAAUGAUGCUGCAAAAUUUGAACAUAGUAAAACAUCACCUCAAAAGGCUGGUCUUCUGGUCAGAGGAAGUGCACAAAUUGAAUUGGAAGAGCAGUGUCUUCAUUGUAAGACACUACGAGGAUCAUACUAUGAGAAAGGAGAAAGACUGGGUGAUUUGGAGGACAGUGCAGGUGAAACAGGUUUAGUGAAUGAGGGGGCCAAAAAUGCUAUAUUAGGAUCAAUGCCUGAGGAUUGCCCAAGCAAUUCAGUGCCUGUCCAGCCAACAGAUAGCUUAUAUACAUUAACUUGGCCAAAGUUAGGCAAUAAUAGUGAGUGUUACAUCUCAGAUUUAGAAGCUGCAAGAAAUCAAAGACUGUCAAAGUCCAGUAUUGAAUAUUCCUUCAACAGGGAUUCUUUACCCACUGCCAGUUUUCCAGAUGAUGCUUGUAAAACAAGACCAGCAGAUUCAGUCAAUGAGAAUGAUCUAAAGGUCUUGCAAGAUACUUGUACCCUUGCAACUGGAGAAACCCUGGAUGAGAAAAAGGCUGCAGUAUGCCCAUGGCAUCGCCUGUACACACCGUGCCUAACAGCCCUGGAUAUGAGCAUCAUCGACUUUGAUGCAACCUUGGUCAUGACAUGUCUGAAGGAGUUCUUUGUGGCAAAUACGCAGCUCCGAAAGCUGACCAUUUGUUGGAAGGAACUGAGCGAUACCAUGCUUGAGAUAAUUGCUGCUGGAGGAGCUGAGCUACGAUCUCUUUGCCUGGUCGACUGUAGCAGCCUGACAAGUUUUGGAGUGGCAAACUUGCUUAGCAAAUGUAGAAAUUUACAACAACUUGAUCUCCAAGGUGUGUGCUAUAUUGCAGAUGCAGCCUUGAUGCCAGUCUUCAUGCAAGGUAACACAUGUAACCUUCACAGUUUGAAGCUCUCAGAGACAAACAUCAGUGACUCCACUCUCGCCCGCAUCGCAAAGUAUCUAGGAGAGAAGAUCACGACUUUAGAAAUUUCCUGGUGCGAAGAGAUCAGUGACCAGGGGCUGGCAGAGAUUGCUAAACACUGCACUGCCUUAGAAACACUGACACUUCGCCAGUGCUCCAUGCCAGCAAACACCCUCAUGUCCCUAGCUUGGAACUGUACUGGUCUGGUCUUUCUCAACAUGUCUGGCGUGGAGAACUUGACAGAUGGGGUGGCCCAAGCUAUGAUGCCCAAUCUGAGACACUUGAAAAACCUGGACAUCAGCUGGAAUUCAGUUUAAGAACACGCUGGAUGACAUUGACCUCAAACGGGCACUACUCCGAGAGAAGCCAUCCAUGCUUGAUGAAGCUGUACAGAUUGUUGUGGAGGCUGAAGUAUGGUUCAAGAUGGAGAAGGCUGGAUGAUCAAGGCAGUGAAAUCUGCGGAGCCUGUGCAAACUGACAAGGUGGCAACAAUGGUGUGCAAACUGUUGGAAAUACAGUGCCGUGGCAAGGGAACAAAGAAGGCCGAUGACUGGAAGCCAGGAUGCUGGAAGUGUGGUAGCCUGGACCAUUUCCAGGCCCAGUGCCCCCUCCUAAAGAACGACCAGCGUCCGUUAUCAGCAUCCGUUAAACCAGACCUGACAGAUGCAGCGAUAUCAUCAGUGUUGUCUUGCUGUCCUCUUAUAGUAGAGCUCUACUUG
rnacentral:misc_RNA from 1 species